GGUAUGGGAGUCUCUCAGUAGGAAUCAGUUCCCAACCCAAUCGGCCGCAAAAUUAGCUUUUCGGAGUGUCUAUUUCAAAUUUUUAUAAAAAAUUGUAUGUGUCAAUGAAUAAAUCGAGGAGAAAGUUCGCGAUUACCGACAAAUUCCUUCCCAGGCUCGCUAAAAACCUGUGCACCAGAAAGGGCAGUCGCCGAGCCAACACCGGGAACCGCCUGGAACACUCCGUCCUAACCCACCUGCAGCACGUGCCCUAGAUCCCCUCCCCUCCCCUCCCUCUCCGUCUCAUCAUCCAUCCCGCUUCCACCUGCAACGUAAGAGGGAGACACAGCCAUGGCUCGCGGCGAUGAGUGCAAGACCACCAGCAAGGCUAACUACGCGUGCAAGAAUCUGGACGUCAGCGCUCCUGUCAUGAAGAAACCUUCAAUGUCUUCGACCUCGUUCGCAGCGAAGAAGGUCGAAGAGAAGAAGAACUACGGAGCGUGGGGUCCGAUCUUCAAGGACAAGAAGUCGUUCGUCGACAUGCAUCACUGCUGAGCCCCCAGACUCAUCACCAUCUCAUCAUCAUCAUCAUCAACGUCAUAGACUGCCUUCACCAACUGAGAGAUUCGACCGACGCACCACAGAGAAACCUUGCAAAGUGAAAAUCAAAAUCAGAAAAAGGAAAAAGAAAUCUGAAAUCGUAACAAGGGUUUCCUUUAGAUCUUGUGGUAGAAAUACUGGAAUAGACUGGAAGAAAGAGAAACAUCAAGUUUGCUGGAAGGGAUGCUGAGUUUUUGCAGUGGGAUAUGAUAAACCAGAGCGAAAGACCAUCAUAACAAAUGAAAAUCGACACUGAAAUGCUGAAGCACUGAAAUGCAAAUGAAGAUCAGGAAUAAGCAAACAGGCGUCAUCUUCGAGUAGACUCUUAUUUUUUUCCAAAAUUAAGUAUUUGUAAUUAUUUAUUCGACCAUUAAAGUUAUUUUUCCAUUUUAAAUUACAUUUUAUGUCUUCAGUAAGCUUAGUAGUCUAUGGCGUACGCUUCGCAUUGCCAUUGGGGUAGGGAACAAUCACUUUACAUUAUUAUUUGCUUCAGCUACUAACAAAUGCCAUGUAAUUCAUACAAUUAUCCAUUUAUUAAACUUUCUCAUCCGUA